rnacentral:rRNA from 1 species
UUUUAUGGAGAGUUUGAUCCUGGCUCAGGAUGAACGCUGGCGGCGUGCCUAAUACAUGCAAGUCGAGCGAACGGAYGAGAAGCUUGCUUCUCUGAUGUUAGCGGCGGACGGGUGAGUAACACGUGGAUAACCUACCUAUAAGACUGGGAUAACUUCGGGAAACCGGAGCUAAUACCGGAUAAUAUUUUGAACCGCAUGGUUCAAAAGUGAAAGACGGUCUUGCUGUCACUUAUAGAUGGAUCCGCGCUGCAUUAGCUAGUUGGUAAGGUAACGGCUUACCAAGGCAACGAUGCAUAGCCGACCUGAGAGGGUGAUCGGCCACACU